UUCCCUAGUAACGGCGAGUGAAGCGGGAACAGCUCAAAUUUGAAAUCUGGCCCUUGGGUCCGAGUUGUAAUUUGCAGAGGAUGCUUUUGGUGCGGUGCCUUCCGAGUUCCCUGGAACGGGACGCCUUAGAGGGUGAGAGCCCCGUACGGUUGGACACCAAGCCUAUGUAAAGCUCCUUCGACGAGUCGAGUAGUUUGGGAAUGCUGCUCAAAAUGGGAGGUAUAUUUCUUCUAAAGCUAAAUAUUGGCCAGAGACCGAUAGCGCACAAGUAGAGUGAUCGAAAGAUGAAAAGCACUUUGAAAAGAGGGUUAAAUAGCACGUGAAAUUGUUGAAAGGGAAGGAUUUAUGACCAGACUUUUUCUAGGGGGAUCAUCCGGUGUUCUCACCGGUGCACUUCCCCUAGUUGAGGCCAGCAUCGGUUUCUGUCGGGGGAUAAAAGCUUUAGGAAUGUGGCUCCCUCCGGGGAGUGUUAUAGCCUGUUGCAUAAUACCCUGACGGGGACCGAGGUUCGCGCAUUGCAAGGAUGCUGGCGUAAUGGUUAUUAAUCACCCGUC
rnacentral:rRNA from 2 species